GAUGAACGCUGGCGGCGUGCCUAAUACAUGCAAGUCGAGCGAAUGGAUUAAGAGCUUGCUCUUAUGAAGUUAGCGGCGGACGGGUGAGUAACACGUGGGUAACCUGCCCAUAAGACUGGGAUAACUCCGGGAAACCGGGGCUAAUACCGGAUAACAUUUGAACCGCAUGGUUCGAAAUUGAAAGGCGGCUUCGGCUGUCACUUACGGAUGGACCCGCGUCGCAUUAGAUAGUUGGUGAGGUAACGGCUCACCAAGGCAACGAUGCGUAGCCGCCCUGGUAGGGUGAUCGGCCACACUGGGACUGAGACACGGCCCAUACUCCUACGAGAGGCAGCAGUAGGGAAUCUUCCGCAAUGGACGAAAGUCUGACGGAGCAACGCCGCGUGAGUGAUGAAGGCUUUCGGGUCGUAAAACUCUGUUGUUAGGGAAGAACAAGUGCUAGUUGAAUAAGCUGGCACCUUGACGGUACCUAACCAGAAAGCCACGGCUAACUACGUGCCAGCAGCCGCGGUAA
rnacentral:rRNA from 1 species